GUAACGGCGAGUGAAGCGGUAACAGCUCAAAUUUGAAAUCUGGCCUCACGGUCCGAGUUGUAAUUUGUAGAGGAUGUUUCGAGCAUGGUCUGGCCUAAGUUCCUUGGAACAGGACGUCAUAGAGGGUGAGAAUCCCGUAUGCGGUCAGGUGCCUACGCUCAUGUGAAACUCCUUCGACGAGUCGAGUUGUUUGGGAAUGCAGCUCAAAAUGGGUGGUAAAUUUCAUCUAAAGCUAAAUAUUGGCCAGAGACCGAUAGCGCACAAGUAGAGUGAUCGAAAGAUGAAAAGCACUUUGGAAAGAGAGUUAAACAGUACGUGAAAUUGUUGAAAGGGAAGCGCUUGCAACCAGACUUGCGCGCGGCUGAUCAUCCGGUGUUCUCACUGGUGCACUCGGUCGCGCUCAGGCCAGCAUCGGUUUUGGUGGUUGGAUAAAGGCCUUAGGAAUGUAGCUCCUCUCGGGGAGUGUUAUAGCCUAGGGUGCAAUGCAGCCUACCGGGACCGAGGACCGCGCU
rnacentral:rRNA from 1 species